rnacentral:rRNA from 1 species
AUAGGGUCAAGUGAAUAAGUGCAUCAGGCGGAUGCCUUGGCGAUGAUAGGCGACGAAGGACGUGUAAGCCUGCGAAAAGCGCGGGGGAGCUGGCAAUAAAGCUAUGAUUCCGCGAUGUCCGAAUGGGGAAACCCACUGCAUUCUGUGCAGUAUCCUAAGUUGAAUACAUAGGCUUAGAGAAGCGAACCCGGAGAACUGAACCAUCUAAGUACCCGGAGGAAAAGAAAUCAACCGAGAUUCCGCAAGUAGUGGCGAGCGAACGCGGAGGAGCCUGUACGUAAUAACUGUCGAGAUAGAAGAACAAGCUGGGAAGCUUGACCAUAGCGGGUGACAGUCCCGUAUUCGAAAUCUCAACAGCGGUACUAAGCGUACGAAAAGUAGGGCGGGACACGUGAAAUCCUGUCUGAAUAUGGGGGGACCAUCCUCCAAGGCUAAAUACUCAUCAUCGACCGAUAGUGAACCAGUACCGUGAGGGAAAGGCGAAAAGAACCCCGGGAGGGGAGUGAAACAGAACCUGAAACCUGAUGCAUACAAACAGUGGGAGCACCCUAGUGGUGUGACUGCGUACCUUUUGUAUAAUGGGUCAACGACUUACAUUCAGUAGCGAGCUUAACCGGAUAGGGGAGGCGUAGGGAAACCGAGUCUUAAUAGGGCGAUGAGUUGCUGGGUGUAGACCCGAAACCGAGUGAUCUAUCCAUGGCCAGGUUGAAGGUGCCGUAACAGGUACUGGAGGACCGAACCCACGCAUGUUGCAAAAUGCGGGGAUGAGCUGUGGGUAGGGGUGAAAGGCUAAACAAACUCGGAGAUAGCUGGUUCUCCCCGAAAACUAUUUAGGUAGUGCCUCGAGCAAGACACUGAUGGGGGUAAAGCACUGUUAUGGCUAGGGGGUUAUUGCAACUUACCAACCCAUGGCAAACUCAGAAUACCAUCAAGUGGUUCCUCGGGAGACAGACAGCGGGUGCUAACGUCCGUUGUCAAGAGGGAAACAACCCAGACCGCCGGCUAAGGUCCCAAAUGAUAGAUUAAGUGGUAAACGAAGUGGGAAGGCACAGACAGCCAGGAUGUUGGCUUAGAAGCAGCCAUCAUUUAAAGAAAGCGUAAUAGCUCACUGGUCGAGUCGUCCUGCGCGGAAGAUGUAACGGGGCUCAAAUCUAUAACCGAAGCUGCGGAUGCCGGUUUACCGGCAUGGUAGGGGAGCGUUCUGUAGGCUGAUGAAGGUGCAUUGUAAAGUGUGCUGGAGGUAUCAGAAGUGCGAAUGUUGACAUGAGUAGCGAUAAAGCGGGUGAAAAGCCCGCUCGCCGAAAGCCCAAGGUUUCCUACGCAACGUUCAUCGGCGUAGGGUAAGUCGGCCCCUAAGGCGAGGCAGAAAUGCGUAGUCGAUGGGAAACAGGUUAAUAUUCCUGUACUUGAUUCAAAUGCGAUGUGGGGACGGAGAAGGUUAGGUUGGCAAGCUGUUGGAAUAGCUUGUUUAAGCCGGUAGGUGGAAGACUUAGGCAAAUCCGGGUUUUCUUAACACCGAGAAGUGAUGACGAGUGUCUACGGACACGAAGCAACCGAUACCACGCUUCCAGGAAAAGCCACUAAGCUUCAGUUUGAAUCGAACCGUACCGCAAACCGACACAGGUGGGCAGGAUGAGAAUUCUAAGGCGCUUGAGAGAACUCGGGAGAAGGAACUCGGCAAAUUGAUACCGUAACUUCGGGAGAAGGUAUGCCCUCUAAGGUUAAGGACUUGCUCCGUAAGCCCCGGAGGGUCGCAGAGAAUAGGUGGCUGCGACUGUUUAUUAAAAACACAGCACUCUGCCAACACGAAAGUGGACGUAUAGGGUGUGACGCCUGCCCGGUGCCGGAAGGUUAAUUGAAGAUGUGCAAGCAUCGGAUCGAAGCCCCGGUAAACGGCGGCCGUAACUAUAACGGUCCUAAGGUAGCGAAAUUCCUUGUCGGGUAAGUUCCGACCCGCACGAAUGGCGUAACGAUGGCCACACUGUCUCCUCCCGAGACUCAGCGAAGUUGAAGUGGUUGUGAAGAUGCAAUCUACCCGCUGCUAGACGGAAAGACCCCGUGAACCUUUACUGUAGCUUUGCAUUGGACUUUGAAGUCACUUGUGUAGGAUAGGUGGGAGGCUUGGAAGCAGAGACGCCAGUCUCUGUGGAGUCGUCCUUGAAAUACCACCCUGGUGUCUUUGAGGUUCUAACCCAGACCCGUCAUCCGGGUCGGGGACCGUGCAUGGUAGGCAGUUUGACUGGGGCGGUCUCCUCCCAAAGCGUAACGGAGGAGUUCGAAGGUUACCUAGGUCCGGUCGGAAAUCGGACUGAUAGUGCAAUGGCAAAAGGUAGCUUAACUGCGAGACCGACAAGUCGGGCAGGUGCGAAAGCAGGACAUAGUGAUCCGGUGGUUCUGUAUGGAAGGGCCAUCGCUCAACGGAUAAAAGGUACUCCGGGGAUAACAGGCUGAUUCCGCCCAAGAGUUCAUAUCGACGGCGGAGUUUGGCACCUCGAUGUCGGCUCAUCACAUCCUGGGGCUGUAGUCGGUCCCAAGGGUAUGGCUGUUCGCCAUUUAAAGUGGUACGUGAGCUGGGUUUAAAACGUCGUGAGACAGUUUGGUCUCUAUCUGCAGUGGGCGUUGGAAGUUUGACGGGGGCUGCUCCUAGUACGAGAGGACCGGAGUGGACGAACCUCUGGUGUACCGGUUGUAACGCCAGUUGCAUAGCCGGGUAGCUAAGUUCGGAAGAGAUAAGCGCUGAAAGCAUCUAAGCGCGAAACUCGCCUGAAGAUGAGACUUCCCUUGCGGUUUAACCGCACUAAAGGGUCGUUCGAGACCAGGACGUUGAUAGGUGGGGUGUGGAAGCGCGGUAACGCGUGAAGCUAACCCAUACUAAUUGCCCGUGAGGCUUGACUCUAU